GUAGUUCAAUAAAUAACCAAAGAGCUCGUCAAAAGCGUUUAUUUCUUCGAGUAAGCAAGCCUAGGCCUAUAAAACUAUCUUAGCUAAAGCUGUACGAUUGGCUGAAAGCAUUUAGGUCUAAAUCACACAACAUACAGUCGCUUAUCGUUCAGAUUAUGCCCGAUAGCCGGUGCCGCUGAUUUGGCAGAUUUGGUUUCAAUUAUAAUAAUAUUUUAUCAGGGAUAUGCCGCGAUAAGUAUAGCGAGUAUAUUUUCUCUCCCCCUCCCAUAAACUCGUGUUCUCACAUAAAUAGUGCACAUGCUUUUUGUAAAAAACAUAGGCCAUUUGCAAGGUCAUACGAUGCAAACGUCGCAUUGUUUUGACGUUUUUUUAGUCGUAUUUCCGGUUGGGUUAGCUCACGCGAUUGUCUGAAUAAAAAUAUAGACUAGCCAUAUCUUUCGCCAAACUUCAAACAUAUCGUCUUUGUAAUAGUCUUGUUCGAAUCCCCAUCAAAAACACUAUUUAGAGUGUUAUUUGCAAGCCUGUAUCUUCAAAUUUGCAUUUUUUUCCACGGUAUUUCCAUUUCUUGUCCGGCUGUGAGCUCGACUGCUCGAGGCUCGAAGUAAUUUGAUAGUAUACGAUCGCAUUUGACUUUCAAACUCCCAUAAAUCACUACAUUGUUAAUAAUGACUAUAACUAUCGUUCGGAAUUAGUUGAUCUUUUAUUUCUGAAUCGAAUGGUGGUAUUUCUGUCUUCAUAGCAUGUACUGAACCGAAGAUAUGAGAUUUCUAGCCGUCAACCUCUCGAGGACGACCUCGCAAAGAGUUUUAAUUUAAUAAUUUUAAUUAUUAACAAAAAACAAAAUAAUCAAAAACAAAAUAAUAAUAAAAAAAAAAAAAUAACAACUAACAAAAUAAUCAAAUAUACAACUGUAAUUAAUAUUACCAUAUCACAAAUCAAUAGAGCCGGGAUCUUUUUUAAAAAUAGAAAAGACACCUUUUGGCAUGACAUCACGGUGAAAGAAUCCAGCUUUAAUAUUUAAUAUUAAAGCUGGAUUCUUUCACCGUGAU